GCUGACGAGCGGCGGACGGGUGAGUAAUACUUAGGAAUCUACCUAGUAGUGGGGGAUAGCACGGGGAAACUCGUAUUAAUACCGCAUACGACCUACGGGAGAAAGGGGGCAGUUUACUGCUCUCGCUAUUAGAUGAGCCUAAGUCGGAUUAGCUAGAUGGUGGGGUAAAGGCCUACCAUGGCGACGAUCUGUAGCUGGUCUGAGAGGAUGAUCAGCCACACCGGGACUGAGACACGGCCCGGACUCCUACGGGAGGCAGCAGUGGGGAAUAUUGGACAAUGGGGGAAACCCUGAUCCAGCCAUGCCGCGUGUGUGAAGAAGGCCUUUUGGUUGUAAAGCACUUUAAGCAGUGAAGAAGACUCCAUGGUUAAUACCCAUGGACGAUGACAUUAGCUGCAGAAUAAGCACCGGCUAACUCUGUGCCAGCAGCCGCGGUAAUACAGAGGGUGCAAGCGUUAAUCGGAAUUACUGGGCGUAAAGGGAGCGUAGGUGGCUCUAUAAGUCAGAUGUGAAAUCCCCGGGCUUAACCUGGGAACUGCAUCUGAAACUGUAGAGCUAGAGUAUGUGAGAGGAAGGUAGAAUUCCAGGUGUAGCGGUGAAAUGCGUAGAGAUCUGGAGGAAUACCGAUGGCGAAGGCAGCCUUCUGGCAUAAUACUGACACUGAGGCUCGAAAGCGUGGGUAGCAAACAGGAUUAGAUACCCUGGUAGUCCACGCCGUAAACGAUGUCUACUAGUCGUUGGGUCCCUUGAGGACUUAGUGACGCAGCUAACGCAAUAAGUAGACCGCCUGGGGAGUACGGCCGCAAGGUUAAAACUCAAAUGAAUUGACGGGGGCCCGCACAAGCGGUGGAGCAUGUGGUUUAAUUCGAUGCAACGCGAAGAACCUUACC
rnacentral:rRNA from 1 species